GGAUAAUCUUGGGAUGGAACCAUCCUAGAAGGGCCAUUCUGUUGAUUUCCUAGUCUCCAAGAGGGAGAUAACUAGUUUCUGGGAGAGGAACUGACUGCCUUGAUGGAGAAUUAUCAACGCAAAGGAUGACGGAGCGGGAAGAACAUAUUCAGACUGGGAUUGUUCACUUCAAGCAUUUUCCCCUUCCUUAUUAUUAGACCUUAAAAACAAACAAACAAACAAACAAA